GUGGAAGAGUGCAGACAAGCAGACACUCUCCUCUGAAGCAUGCAAUGGUGCCAACUACUUUUUCACGCUGCAGCCCACAAGUACAGACAUGAGUCAACGGAAGACACUUGACGUGCAGUUUUAGAACUUGGCCAAAAACUGAGCGGAGACUGAACAGCGGAGAAGCCUUUGAGUGAAAACGUGGCCCGGAACCAGGAGCUCACUCAAGCAUGUUAUAUGGAGCAGCGUUGUUAUUGUUAUUGUUUGGGGGUAGUGGCAGACAUUUUCAGUGCAUGGACCAGCAGAAGGAGGAUUUGGAUGUUCACUUUCAAAUUACUCACAUAUUUACAGCUUUAACCCUCAAGCGAACAAAUGGAGUCAUAUCUGACCCCAGACAUAUAGUACUUUAUUGAUAUUUUAUUGAUAUCUUAAUUUAAAUGUCACUUGAACCUGGCACAGUUUAAUGCUAAUCUCUGUGUGUACAGUAUUGUGGUAUGAGGUGAAUGAAUAUCAUGGAAUACUACAGUCAAAACUACAGUUAAAUGAUUUUGCUCUUAUAAAAUAUAGCAGUAUAUUUUGCUCAAGCGCAGUUCAGGGGAACUAACGAUUAUUGAUCGAUGCCUGUAUUGUGGCACUACGCUGUGUGAUUUACAGCUUCAUGGCUUUUAUCUGUGAUAUUGGAUUUCUGGUGUGUCCUGCAUUGUAUGUUACUAUUCACUACUCGUGAGUUACUUUGCAUAAGAGCAUUUGAAAAAAUAUAUCGAUAGUCAUACAUUUCUAUGGUUGACGAGGAUUGCACUAGACCUGCACUGUGGCUGUGGAACAUGCACUCAGAAGUGGAGUUUAAAUGCAGGAGGAACAGUGUGAGAAACUGCAUCAGAUCUGGGGAAUAUUAUUAUUUAUUCAAAAACUGUAUUCCUGCUUCAUUAAAAAAUUAUAUCUGUGA